AGUCCGGAGCUGCGCCUCCGCCGACAGAAGAUGCUCCGGGCCAGCAGCCAGAGAAACGCCGCGGGUCACAGAGGGUGGAGGGCUUCAGGGAGCAGAGGAAGCCCAACAGCUGCAGCCGAGCGUCCAAAAAAAGUUCCUCUACUUGGCUCUCCUCCAAAGGUACGCGGCCACAGCAGGCAGGGGCUUGGCAGUGUGGGAGGAGACACCACAGAAGACAGGGAAGAACUACCAGGCCUUGGUUCAUCUCCACACUGGCGAGAGAGGACGUGCAGGAAGUAUCGGCUGCCAGAUAGGGAGCUGAGACUUCAAGAAGCUAAAUAAGGUGUCCAACACCACAGAGCAUGGAGCAAAGGACACGGGACUGCAAAUCUUCCUAACUCGUGUGCUCAUCUGGCUAUCUCACCAGGGCCUUAAAUUUAAUAUAUCCCAAACUGAACUCAUCUUUACCCCUUCCCACUUUGCACUCCUCAAAUGUCCUUGUUUAAAAUAGUUACCUUUAUCUUUCCUAACCCAGAAACUCAAAACCUGGCAUCAUCUUUGACUUCUCUCUUUACCUUCACAUUCAACAGUUUCCAAGACUUAAAGGCUUUAUUUGUAGGAUCUCUACCACUGAUCCUCUACAGUUUCACACCUACAUCCCAUUCUCGUUCCCAAAUCCCCAUAACUCCUCUCCUGGCCCAUCCCUUAACACUGAAAUCCUGGCUUGGAAAAUAUGGUCACAUUCACAGCAGCUGUCCCCAAGAAGGAAGCCAAGGCAACAGUAUGCACAAUGAAGUGAGUCUUCACUGAUCUCUCCAUAUUUUGACAUUUUACAGCACUUAUUAUCUCUACUUUGUAUUUUGAAACUGAAUCCAAAAUAGUUUUGCAUUUGUUGUUUAACAGUCAUGUAUGUAGUUUUUUUUUUUUUUUCUUUUUUUUUGGAGACAGAGUCUGGCUCUGUCACCCAGGCUGGAGUGCAGUGGCGUGAUUUUGGCUCACUGCAACCUCCGCCUUCUGGGUUCAAGCAGUUCUCGUGCCUCCCUGAGCAGCUGGGAAUACAAGCAUACACCACCAUGCCCAGCUAAUUUAUUUUUAGUAGAGAUGGGAUUUCACCAUGUUGCCCAGGCUGAUCUUGAACUCCUGAGGUCAGGCAAUCUGCCCACCUCAGCCUCCCAAAGUGCUGGGAUUACAGGCAUCAGCCACCACACCCAGCCCCUCCAUGUGUGUAGAUAUUUAUCCACAUCCAAAAAUUAGGAAAAGCAGGACGCAUUGAACCUUUGGUACCCAGCAGCAGGAGCCUGUGGGUCUUCUGUCUGGAGCACAAUCACAAGGACCGAGCAUCAGCAGCAUCCACUGUCCUUUCAGCUCCAAAUUUUAAACUCCCGUAAGAGAGACAUUAUUGGCCCAGCUUGGGUCGUGUGUCCACCCCUUUAAUCAAUCAGCUUUGGCCAAGCAGCAGGUCAUCCUGGUCCAAACAUCACAGUUGGGGGCCUCACUUGUAAAUAGAGCUUGUUCCCAAAAAAGAGGGAGGCACACACCAUUCAUUUGUUUAUUCAUUCAUUCAAUCAGCAAAUAGUUGAGCAUCUAUAGAAAUAUAUUUAAGGUUCUAUUAUGUACACAAAAUGUAUAAAACAUGGCCCUGCCCUCACACCAUGAAAGUUACCACAUAAAAAGAAGUCACCAGAUAAAAAAAGCAUAACAGUAUUCAUAAGUACUCAUGAGUGACCAUCAAUUCAGUUACACAUGAUGGAAGAUAAUUCAUUAUACCUAGUAUAAGCCAGUGACGGUAAAAAUAGUUAGCAGCAAUGUGUACAUGAUCAACAAAAGCUCACAGCAGCACCAUUUACACAAAAACAGAAAAGUACCCAGAUGUCCAUCAGAGGUAGACCAGAUAAAAUAUAAAAUAUACCACCACACAAUGGCUAACACCUGUAAUCCCAGCACUUUGGGAGGCUGAGGCCGGCAGAUCACUUGAGGUCAGGAGUUUGAGACCAGCCUGAUCAACAUGGUGAAACCCCGUCUCUACUAAAAAUACAAAAAUUAACCAGUUGUCAUGGCAUGUGCCUGUAAUCCCAGCUACUCAGGAGGCCGAGGCAAGAGAAUCGCUUGAACCUGGGAGGCCAAGGUUGCAGUGAGCCGAGAUCACACCACUGCACUCCAGCCUGGGUAAAAAAGCGAGAUUCCAUCUCGAAAAAAAAAAAGUGUAUAUGUAUAGUGUAUGCAUGCACAGAAUACUUUACAGCAAUAAGAAUGAGUGUUCUGCAAAUAUACACAAUAUUGCUGACUCUCCCAAUGUUAAACAAAAGCAUCCAGACACACAACAAUGUGUACAGUAUAUGAUUCCAUUGAUAGAAAGCUUAAAAACAGGCAAAAUUAAUUCACCCUUAUGGAGUCUUAAGUAAGGGGAACAAAAGGGGCCAUCUGGGCAGUGAUAAUGCUGUUUCUUGAGCUGGGUGCUGGGUUCACAGGUGUGUUCAGUUUGUCACAUUCAUCAAGCUUACACUUCUCAUACAUCUUCUUUUCUAUAUGUAUGUCAUCCUUCAAUAAAAAGUUUUUAAAAAAUAAAUAAUUGGGCUUGUGUGGUGGGCUCACACCUGUAAUCCUAGCACUUUGGGAGGCUGAUGUGGGAGAAGCACUUGAGUCCAGGAGUUUGACCAGCCUGGGCAACACAGGAAGACCCUGUCUCCACAAAAAAUUUUUAAAAGCCUGGCAUGGUGGCACACUUAGGUGGGUAAGGUGGGAGGAUCGCUUGAGCCAGGAGGUUGAGGCUGCAGUGAGCCGUGAUCGCACCACUGCACUCCAGCCUGAGUGACAAAGCGAGACCAUGUCUUAAAAAAAUAAAAAUAAAUAAUUGGC
rnacentral:lncRNA from 1 species